rnacentral:rRNA from 1 species
UGUGAACUCGAAGAGUAGGGCGGGACACGUGGUAUCCUGUCUGAAUAUGGGGGGACCAUCCUCCAAGGCUAAAUACUCCUGACUGACCGAUAGUGAACCAGUACCGUGAGGGAAAGGCGAAAAGAACCCCGGCGAGGGGAGUGAAAAAGAACCUGAAACCGUGUACGUACAAGCAGUGGGAGCCUCUUUAUGGGGUGACUGCGUACCUUUUGUAUAAUGGGUCAGCGACUUAUAUUCUGUAGCAAGGUUAACCGUAUAGGGGAGCCGAAGGGAAACCGAGUCUUAACUGGGCGUUAAGUUGCAGGGUAUAGACCCGAAACCCGGUGAUCUAGCCAUGGGCAGGUUGAAGGUUGGGUAACACUAACUGGAGGACCGAACCGACUAAUGUUGAAAAAUUAGCGGAUGACCUGUGGCUGGGGGUGAAAGGCCAAUCAAACCGGGAGAUAGCUGGUUCUCCCCGAAAGCUAUUUAGGUAGCGCCUCGUGAACUCAUCUUCGGGGGUAGAGCACUGUUUCGGCUAGGGGGCCAUCCCGGCUUACCAACCCGAUGCAAACUACGAAUACCGAAGAAUGUUAUCACGGGAGACACACGGCGGGUGCUAACGUCCGUCGUGAAGAGGGAAACAACCCAGACCGCCAGCUAAGGUCCCAAAGUCAUGGUUAAGUGGGAAACGAUGUGGGAAGGCACAGACAGCCAGGAUGUUGGCUUAGAAGCAGCCAUCAUUUAAAGAAAGCGUAAUAGCUCACUGGUCGAGUCGGCCUGCGCGGAAGAUGUAACGGGGCUAAACCAUGCACCGAAGCUGCGGCAGCGACACUAUGUGUUGUUGGGUAGGGGAGCGUUCUGUAAGCCGUUGAAGGUGUGCUGUGAGGCAUGCUGGAGGUAUCAGAAGUGCGAAUGCUGACAUAAGUAACGAUAAAGCGGGUGAAAAGCCCGCUCGCCGGAAGACCAAGGGUUCCUGUCCAACGUUAAUCGGGGCAGGGUGAGUCGACCCCUAAGGCGAGGCCGAAAGGCGUAGUCGAUGGGAAACAGGUUAAUAUUCCUGUACUUGGUGUUACUGCGAAGGGGGGACGGAGAAGGCUAUGUCAGCCGGGCGACGGUUGUCCCGGUUUAAGCAUGUAGGCGGAGGUUCCAGGUAAAUCCGGUACCUUAUUAACGCUGAGGUGUGAUGACGAGGCACUACGGUGCUGAAGUGAUAAAUGCCCUGCUUCCAGGAAAAGCCUCUAAGCAUCAGGUAACACGAAAUCGUACCCCAAACCGACACAGGUGGUCAGGUAGAGAAUACCAAGGCGCUUGAGAGAACUCGGGUGAAGGAACUAGGCAAAAUGGUGCCGUAACUUCGGGAGAAGGCACGCUGAUGUGUAGGUGAAGCCCCUGCGGGUGGAGCUGAAAUCAGUCGAAGAUACCAGCUGGCUGCAACUGUUUAUUAAAAACACAGCACUGUGCAAACACGAAAGUGGACGUAUACGGUGUGACGCCUGCCCGGUGCCGGAAGGUUAAUUGAUGGGGUUAGCGGCAACGCGAAGCUCUUGAUCGAAGCCCCGGUAAACGGCGGCCGUAACUAUAACGGUCCUAAGGUAGCGAAAUUCCUUGUCGGGUAAGUUCCGACCUGCACGAAUGGCGUAAUGAUGGCCAGGCUGUCUCCACCCGAGACUCAGUGAAAUUGAACUCGCUGUGAAGAUGCAGUGUACCCGCGGCAAGACGGAAAGACCCCGUGAACCUUUACUAUAGCUUGACACUGAACACUGGUCCUUGAUGUGUAGGAUAGGUGGGAGGCUUUGAAGCGUGGACGCCAGUCUGCGUGGAGCCAACCUUGAAAUACCACCCUUUAAUGGCUGGUGUUCUAACGUAGACCCGUAAUCCGGGUUGCGGACAGUGUCUGGUGGGUAGUUUGACUGGGGCGGUCUCCUCCCAAAGAGUAACGGAGGAGCACGAAGGUUGGCUAAUCCUGGUCGGACAUCAGGAGGUUAGUGCAAUGGCAUAAGCCAGCUUGACUGCGAGCGUGACGGCGCGAGCAGGUGCGAAAGCAGGUCAUAGUGAUCCGGUGGUUCUGAAUGGAAGGGCCAUCGCUCAACGGAUAAAAGGUACUCCGGGGAUAACAGGCUGAUACCGCCCAAGAGUUCAUAUCGACGGCGGUGUUUGGCACCUCGAUGUCGGCUCAUCACAUCCUGGGGCUGAAGUAGGUCCCAAGGGUAUGGCUGUUCGCCAUUUAAAGUGGUACGCGAGCUGGGUUUAGAACGUCGUGAGACAGUUCGGUCCCUAUCUGCCGUGGGCGCUGGAGAAUUGAGGGGGGCUGCUCCUAGUACGAGAGGACCGGAGUGGACGCAUCACUGGUGUUCGGGUUGUCAUGCCAAUGGCACUGCCCGGUAGCUAAAUGCGGAAGAGAUAAGUGCUGAAAGCAUCUAAGCACGAAACUUGCCCCGAGAUGAGUUCUCCCUGAGACUUUAAGUCUCCUGAAGGAACGUUGAAGACGACGACGUUGAUAGGUCGGGUGUGUAAGCGCAGCGAUGCGUUGAGCUAACCGAUACUAAUGAACCGUGAGGCUUAACCUU